UGUAACAGCAACUCCAUGUGGAG
rnacentral:miRNA from 1 species